rnacentral:rRNA from 1 species
CAGUAGCCGCGGGAAUACGUAGGGUGCAAGCGUUAUCCGGAUUCACUGGGUUUAAAGGGUGCGUAGGCGGAUCUGUAAGUCAGUGGUGAAAUCUCCAGGCUUAACCUGGAAACUGCCGUUGAUACUAUAGGUCUUGAAUUUUGUGGAGGUUAGCGGAAUAUGUCAUGUAGCGGUGAAAUGCAUAGAUAUGACAUAGAACACCAAUUGCGAAGGCAGCUGGCUACACAACUAUUGACGCUGAGGCACGAAAGCGUGGGGAUCAAACAGGAUUAGAUACCCCAGUAGUCCCUGUCUCUUAUAA